rnacentral:rRNA from 1 species
UACGUAGGGUGCGAGCGUUAAUCGGAAUUACUGGGCGUAAAGUGUGCGCAGGCGGCCGCGCAAGUCGAGUGUGAAAGCCCCGGCUUAACUUGGGAAUUGCGCUCGAAACUACGUGGCUGGAGUAUGGCAGAGGAAGGUGGAAUUCCACGUGUAGCGGUGAAAUGCGUAGAGAUGUGGAGGAACACCGAUGGCGAAGGCAGCCUUCUGGGCCAAUACUGACGCUCAUGCACGAAAGCGUGGGGAGCAAACAGGAUAGAAAC